UAGGGAAUCUUCCACAAUGGACGCAAGUCUGAUGGAGCAACGCCGCGUGAGUGAAGAAGGUUUUCGGACCGUAAAGCUCUGUUGUUGGUGAAGAAGGAUAGAGGUAGUAACUGGCCCUUUAUUUGACGGUAAUCAACCAGAAAGUCACGGCUAACUACGUGCCAGCAGCCGCGGUAAUACGUAGGUGGCAAGCGUUGUCCGGAUUUAUUGGGCGUAAAGCGAGCGCGGGCGGAAGAAUAAGUCUGAUGUGAAAGCCCUCGGCUUAACCGAGGAAUUGCAUCGGAAACUGUUCUUCUUGAGUGCAGAAGAGGAGAGUAGAACUCCAUGUGUAGCGGUGGAAUGCGUAGAUAUAUGGAAGAAUACCAGUGGCGAAGGCGGCUCUCUGGUCUGCAACUGACGCUGAGGCUCGAAAGCAUGGGUAGCGAACAGGAUUAGAUACCCUGGUAGUCCAUGCCGUAAACGAUGAGUGCUAAGUGUUGGGAGGCUUCCGCCUCUCAGUGCUGCAGCUAACGCAUUAAGCACUCCGCCUGGGGGAGUACGACCGCAAGGUUG
rnacentral:rRNA from 1 species